CAGAAUAUAGCUUAACAGCAGCAUUUCCCUUACCCUGAAAAGGUACCCGUAUCCCCGGGCUAUUCUGA
rnacentral:tRNA from 1 species